rnacentral:rRNA from 1 species
CAGUAGCCACGGUAAAACGUAGGUGGCAAGCGUCGUCCUGAUUUACUGGGCGUAAAGCGAACGCAGGCGGACUGUUAAGUAGGAAGUGAAAGGUCGGAGCUCAACUCCAACAUUGCUUCCUAUACUGGCAGUCUUGAGUAGCGGAGAGGAAGGGAGAACGACACGUGUAGCGGUGAAAUGCGUUGAUAUGUGUCGGAACACCCAUGGCGAAAGCAGCCUUCUGGACGAAAACUGACGCUCAGGUUCGAAAGCCAAGGUAGCGAACAGGAUUAGAUACCCCAGUAGUCCCUGUCUCUUAUAC